rnacentral:rRNA from 1 species
UGGGGAAUUUUGGACAAUGGGGGAAACCCUGAUCCAGCCAUCCCGCGUGUGCGAUGAAGGCCUUCGGGUUGUAAAGCACUUUUGGCAGGAAAGAAACGUCGCGGGUUAAUACCCCGCGAAACUGACGGUACCUGCAGAAUAAGCACCGGCUAACUACGUGCCAGCAGCCGCGGUAAUACGUAGGGUGCAAGCGUUAAUCGGAAUUACUGGGCGUAAAGCGUGCGCAGGCGGUUCGGAAAGAAAGAUGUGAAAUCCCAGAGCUUAACUUUGGAACUGCAUUUUUAACUACCGGGCUAGAGUGUGUCAGAGGGAGGUGGAAUUCCGCGUGUAGCAGUGAAAUGCGUAGAUAUGCGGAGGAACACCGAUGGCGAAGGCAGCCUCCUGGGAUAACACUGACGCUCAUGCACGAAAAGCGUGGGGGGACGCAAACAGGAUUAGAUACCCUGGUAGUCCACGCCCUAAACGAUGUCAACUAGCUGUUGGGGCCUUCGGGCCUUGGUAGCGCAGCUAACGCGUGAAGUUGACCGCCUGGGGAGUACGGUC